UCCCGUUUGACACGUGCAUGUCAAGCCCAGGUAAGGUUCUUCGCGUUGCGUCGAAUUAAACCACACGCUCCGCUGCUUGUGCGGGCCCCCGUCAAUUCCUUUGAGUUUUAGCCUUGCGGCCGUAGUCCCCAGGCGGAGAACUUAUCGCGUUAGCUUCGGCACCGAGGGGGUCGAUACCCCCGACACCUAGUUCUCAUCGUUUACAGCGUGGACUAC
rnacentral:misc_RNA from 1 species